rnacentral:lncRNA from 1 species
ACACACACACAGACUUCAUUCUUGGAAGCAGCUAGUGUAAGGGUUUCUUUUUGCUGUUCUGGUUGUUUUAAAUAAAAAAUAUAAACUACAUCGUGCACCUUUUGCAGAUGCUGAAUAAGUUAAAUAAAUAAGUUACAAUAUGAAGGCUCUGAGGGCCCCAAUAAUUAAAAGGUGAAGUUCGCUUGGUACCAGGUGGGGCUGCGAACUUAAAUAAUUUAAUCACUGUUACUUAAACUAUUUUCAAAGUUAAUUCAAGAAAGAAAAAUACCUCAAUUGUUUUUUUUGUAACCUGUAUUUCUUCCCUGUCUGUAACAGAAUUUCUCUGCUUUAUAAAGCAGACCUUCAAGGGGAUUCUAAAAGGGAUUGCGCAUCUCUGAU